CAACUUUCAGCAACGGAUCUCUUGGCUCUCGCAUCGAUGAAGAACGCAGCGAAAUGCGAUAAGUAAUGUGAAUUGCAGAAUUCAGUGAAUCAUCGAAUCUUUGAACGCACCUUGCGCCCCUUGGCUAUUCCUCGGGGCAUGCCUGUUUGAGUAUCAUGA
rnacentral:rRNA from 1 species